rnacentral:rRNA from 1 species
CUGCCUGUGGAGGGGAAUAACUACUGGAAACGGUAGCUAAUACCGCAUGAUGUCGCAAGACCAAAGUGGGGGACCUUCGGGCCUCACGCCAUCGGAUGUGCCCAGAUGGGAUUAGCUAGUAGGUGGGGUAAUGGCUCACCUAGGCGACGAUCCCUAGCUGGUCUGAGAGGAUGACCAGCCACACUGGAACUGAGACACGGUCCAGACUCCUACGGGAGGCAGCAGUGGGGAAUAUUGCACAAUGGGCGCAAGCCUGAUGCAGCCAUGCCGCGUGUGUGAAGAAGGCCUUAGGGUUGUAAAGCACUUUUAGCGAGGAGGAAGGCGUUGUAGUUAAUAACUGCAACGAUUGACGUUACUCGCAGAAGAAGCACCGGCUAACUCCGUGCCAGCAGCCGCGGUAAUACGGAGGGUGCAAGACGUUAAUCGGAAUUACUGGGCGUAAAGCGCACGCAGGCGGUUUGUUAAGUCAGAUGUGAAAUCCCCGAGCUUAACUUGGGAACUGCAUUUGAAACUGGCAAGCUAGAGUCUUGUAGAGGGGGGUAGAAUUCCAGGUGUAGCGGUGAAAUGCGUAGAGAUCUGGAGGAAUACCGGUGGCGAAGGCGGCCCCCUGGACAAAGACUGACGCUUCAGGUGCGAAAGCGUGGGGAGCAAACAGGAUUAGAUACCCUGGUAGUCCACGCUGUAAACGAUGUCGACUUGGAGGUUGUGCCCUUGAGGCGUGGCUUGCCGGAGCUAACGCGUUAAGUCGACUCGCCUG